AUGGAGGAUGAAUUCAUGUUAUUUGUCUUCCCUACCAUGGAAGAAGGAAGAGAGAAAAAACCAAUGCAUACAUCUAGUCUUACAGGAGCUGCUUAUGUCCAGGAAAUCUUAAAUGGGCAUGAAAGCUUAUGCAAAAGGCAUUUCAGAAUGGAGGCUUACAUCUUUCAUGCUCUGGUUGAGAAGCUGCGUGAGAAUGAAAUACUUGAAGAUUCAACAAUAGUCUCCUUGGAAGAAAAGGUUGCGAUAUUUUUAUAUGCAGUUGCAAAAAAUGCCAGUAAUGAAACCUUGCAGGAUAGGUUCCAGCACAGUGGGCAAACCAUCAGUCGACACUUUGGAGAUGUACUAGAGGCAAUUACAAAGCUUGCAAGCAUCUAUAUACGCCCACCUUCUCUUCGACCACAUCCAGUCUUGAGGAGAUCACAUUUCCAUCCCUACUUCAAUGUAAGCAUACAUUUUCAUAUAUUUCUGACUUUGUAUUGGUAA
rnacentral:rRNA from 1 species